rnacentral:rRNA from 1 species
UACGGGGGGGGCAAGCGUUGUUCGGAAUUACUGGGCGUAAAGAGCUCGUAGGCGGUUUGUCGCGUCUGCUGUGAAAACUCGGGGCUUAACCCCGGGCCUGCAGUGGGUACGGGCAGACUAGAGUGCGGUAGGGGAGACUGGAAUUCCUGGUGUAGCGGUGAAAUGCGCAGAUAUCAGGAGGAACACCGGUGGCGAAGGCGGGUCUCUGGGCCGUAACUGACGCUGAGGAGCGAAAGCGUGGGGAGCGAACAGG